rnacentral:misc_RNA from 1 species
AAGUCGUAACAAGGUUUCCGUAGGUGAACCUGCGGAAGGAUCAUUACUGAAAAGUUCUUUCAAAGAACCUAUCAAUACCCCAUUGUUUACCUCACCACGUUGCUUCCACUGGACAGGCCAGUCUUCUUACGGAGACCAGCCCUCUGGCGUCGACUUCAAAAAUCGAUUUGCUGGGGAGUGCCGGUGGAUAGCCAUCAACCAAAAAAACUUUUUAAAUCAGCUUUAUAUCGUCUGAACAACUGUUUUAUAACAAAAACAUUAUAAAACUUUCAACAACGGAUCUCUAGGCUCUU